UAGAUUUAGGACCCUUCUUUCCGGCAAGUUCUCUUCUUUCUCUCCUCCAAGUAACUGGGUAAGUAUGAACACUUCUGUCUCUCCCCAUGUGUACUUCUCCCUCUCCCUCUCCCUCUCUCCACACUCUUGAGCAUUCUGGUCCCAAAUUAUAGAUUUCAUACUGUGUUCAGCUUCCAAUAGUUGUGACCUAAGAAUUGAGGCUUAAGGACUUGAGGAGUUUACCUUCAUCACAUAAUGAGAAGCCUGAAGAAGAGAAAUUGCUGCUGGUGGUUUCAGCUACUCAAGGAAUUCAGAGUGAAAAUUUUGAGAUUAUUUGGGAUUUUCCCUAAUGGUUGGGGUCCAACUGUAACAAGUAAGUUCAGGCAAACAAAGAAAGAAAAGCAACAGAGGUUUUCUAAGAAAUCCCACCCAAUUACUUUUUCUUGUGUCUCAGAGGCCACCUCUAUCUGGAAGAAAGAAGGUAAAUGCAGUUUGUUUGUUUGUUUGUUUGUUUAAGAUGGGAAUAUUGACAUGCCCAAUAAAGAUGGAGUCCUGUUGGUAAUGAAAAAGAGAGAAUUGAUAUUGCAAAGAGUAAUUGGCAAAGCUGGAUUUGGGAUUCCUGGGAUGUUAGCCUAUCUACCAUCUAAAACCAUCAAAGUCUUUCUUCAAUUUCUAACAAGAGUCUACAUCUCAUUUAUGGUGGAGCAUUCAAGAUGAGUGUUUUCCUGAAUGGCUACACAAUGAUGGGUUAUGAAAGACUUUCAGCCUCUCAUCUUCCACACACAAAACAUGUUUGAAUCCCAGGAGUGAAUUCACCUAGAUUCAAGCAAGAUCUACAUACUACAUCUCUAAGACAGUAAAUUUGCUCAAAUUAUAAUCUUGGAUUUAAAUUGAAUGACCAAAUAAAGGGAUAAAAUUCAAA